rnacentral:rRNA from 1 species
AUGAAUGAUGUAUUCCAGGGGUUGAAGAAAGUGGCAACAAAUUUAAAAUAUUGGAACGCCAACAAUCUUGGGGAUUUGAAUAAGAGGAUCAAAGAGGCCAAGAAGGAAUUGGAAGAAGUCCGAAAGAAAGACAUCUCACCAGAUCAAGUGGCUCGUGAAGCAUUUCUAAGAGAAAAACUAGACCGACUUGAGUCACAACAAGAUGUAUAUUGGAAGCAGAGGGCACACACAAAUUGGCUAAAAGAAGGAGACAAAAAUACACAUUAUUUUCAUGUGUUUGCUUCUGAAAGAAGAAAAAAGAACACAAUCAGGAAGUUGAAGAAGGACAAUGGAGAUUGGGUAGAAGGGAAUCAACAGCUAAAGAGCUUAGUGGAAGACUAUUUUACAGACUUAUUUACAUCCACUAAUAGCAACAACAAUGAUAAUAUCACUAGACAUGUACAUGCUAGAGUGGACCGACAUAUGAACGAGCUGCUGAGUGCUGAGUUCACCAAGGAAGAAGUAAAGGCUGCCAUAGAGUCAAUUGGCGAUCUAAAGGCUCCAGGGCCUGAUGGGAUGUCUGCAAUAUUUUUCAAGAGAUUUUGGCACAUUGUGGGGGAAAAGGUUACUCAUGAGAUUCUACAAUUUCUCAAAGGAGGUGACAUGCCUAUUGGAUGGAAUGAUACAAUGGUGGUUCUAAUCCCCAAAACAAAACAAAAGGAGCGGAACUGCUAA